rnacentral:misc_RNA from 1 species
AAACUUCAUAGCACUUUCAGUCCUGCAAGCCAAGAAAGCCCCUUUAUUUAUUACUCAUCCCAAUAAUAUAAACCAGAUAACUAUAGCCACCAGCUAAAAGCAAUCUAACCCAAGCAAGUGAAUAAUAAAUAAAUGACAGAUGAUUCCAAAACAAUCUCACAUAUUUUCUAAGCUGUCUACAAUAUUUUUUGGCAUCAUCAACAACAAAACAGUUAGGUAUCAAGCUUCAAUGGAAGGUGAAGGAAAUGGAGGAAAAUCCAAGUACAGCAGUCGAAAUCAUUACCUAAAUGCACGAUAAAGUGGACG